rnacentral:rRNA from 1 species
GACGAACUGUCCUAACGUUGUUCGGAAUCACUGGGCUUAAAGGGCGCGUAGGCGGUCCGACAAGUCUGGGGUGAAAUCCUGCAGCUUAACUGCAGAAGUGCCUUUGAUACUGUCGGUCUCGAGGGAGAUAGGGGUGUGCGGAACUUCCAGUGGAGCGGUGAAAUGCGUUGAUAUUGGAAGGAACGCCGGAGGCGAAAGCGGCGCACUGGAUCUCUUCUGACGCUGAGGCGCGAAAGCUAGGGGAGCAAACGGG